AUGGUUUCCGGCAUACUUAGCUUUACUUGUUCAUCUUCAUUUAGUUUGCAAUUCAGAUCAUCACUCGUUAAACCUCGUAAAGCAUAGUAACAAGUCACUGUAUGUAAAAUCGUCAUUUCACCUUAGAGAUUGUCUAGUGCAGAAAUAUGACAGACACAUUGAGUGCUAAGGGAAGAACAAGUGCCACUGUGUGUUGUAUGGCUUCAGUGUGAAGAAGUUGACAUUGCUUCUUAUUCACCGUGUGCUUCAGAGGUGGAAUUCUAUAAACGUUUACUCAUACUUAAGAAUUUCUGAGGGAAAUGAACGUCCACAUGCAGUCAAGUUACUUUUAAUGAUAUGAUUAAAAUGCUCAUCUAGACAGCUUUUUAGCAUUUCUCUUGACUGAAGUAGGAUCUAAAUGCUUUUGUACAUCUUUCACUAGUGUUAUAUACAUGCUUCUGUUUGUAUUUAUCCACAUAUCCAGAAGAUUGUUCUUUGUGUGUCUUUACGUGUCCCGGUGUGCGGGAUUUAUUUCUUCACUCAUUCUUCUUUUACAUUCCACCUGAAGAAAAAACAGCAGGAAAGAUUUUAAAAUUGUAAAACAAACACAAUUAUAAAAAGUAAUAAAAUAAUAAUCAGCAAUAGAAUUCACGCCGCGUAGUAAAGGUAAGAGCAUUUCGAUACGCAGAAUCUAAAGAGAAUUAAUAAUCUGUAACCCUCUUUGUGAGAAAGAGACUCAGUUAUUUUACACACAAUACAAGAAAAGUCAGGCUCAAGUUGAGCAGCUCAUACAUAAAGAAUAUACAUGUACUGAACUAUUAGGAUUUAUUAGGUAAAUAAUCCAUGUAAUAAAAGACAAAAAGUCCAGGAUAAAAAUAAAAGGAGAGGUCAGGUCAUCUCCUGAAAUCAAAUCUAAGGUUCCCCUCCAUGACAGCACUAUUGCAGUGCGUCAGCAUUCAAAAUGCCAGCACCCUGGAGCUGUAACGUCCACUCUGAACGGGCCAGUUUUUGACAGUUAAGUUAGUGCGUCGCAUUGAUACCUUAUGUUAAUGUUUGUACAGUAAGUAAAACUUCUCAGGAUGAUGCCUAAGUGUUUCCGUUUUGCAUUUGUAUUACCAAAUAUUUUGAUUAUUUUGAGCUUCAAGUCAUUAUAUG
ensembl:lncRNA